rnacentral:rRNA from 1 species
CCCACCUGACCCCAUGCCGAACUCAGAAGUGAAACGCCGUAGCGCCGAUGGUAGUGUGGGGUCUCCCCAUGCGAGAGUAGGGAACUGCUAGGC